rnacentral:tRNA from 1 species
GCGCCUAUAGCUCAACUGGAUAGAGCAUCAGUCUUCGGAACUGAUUGUUGGUGGUUCGAUUCCACCUAGGCGCA